rnacentral:rRNA from 1 species
UACGUAGGGUGCAAGCGUUGUCCGGAAUUACUGGGCGUAAAGCGCACGUAGGCGGCUUUCUAAGUCGGGGGUGAAAUCCUGGAGCUCAACUCCAGAACUGCCUUUGAUACUGAGGAUCUUGAGUCCGGGAGAGGUGAGUGGAACUCCGAGUGUAGAGGUGAAAUUCGUAGAUAUUCGGAAGAACACCAGUGGCGAAGGCGGCUCACUGGCCCGGUACUGACGCUGAGGUGCGAAAGCGUGGGGAGCAAACAGG